UACGAAGGGGGCGAGCGUUGUUCGGAUUUACUGGGCGUAAAGGGCGCGCAGGCGGCUCAUUUUGUCAGGCGUGAAAGCCCCGGGCUUAACCUGGGAACUGCGUUUGAUACGGAUGGGCUAGAGUUCGGGAGAGGAGAGUGGAAUUCCCAGUGUAGAGGUGAAAAUUCGUAGAUAUUGGGAAGAACACCGGUGGCGAAGGCGGCUCUCUGGACCGAUACUGACGCUGAGGCGCGAAAGCGUGGGGAGCAAACAGG
rnacentral:rRNA from 1 species